GGCAGUAUGGUGUAAUGAUGCACAUGGGAUUUUCUUACAAGCUUCACAACCGGUAUUCCUGAGGUCCUUGUUCGAAUCAAGGUACUGCCC